UUAUAUAAUUUAUCAUGAGAGGUUGGUUAUCCAUAGACACGACCACACUCCCCCAAAAUAUCUCUCUCUCUACCAACAGACAAACAUAAAUCUUUCAGAAUUAGUAACGACGACUCACCCUUUGACGUGAUUUCGGAUCGUUAUUUCCGGCGAAUAGAGAUAUGGGUGGCAAAUCAUCGGCGAUGGCAACACAAAUGAUCCGGAUCUGGAAAGAGAGAGAGGGGCCGGUAGGAUGUUCAAAAUAGCUGAUUGGUUGGCGGCCUUUGGAGUUUCGGUUUCAAAGUGAUUAAUUGAGUUUCUAAAUGUAACGGUGGGGGUUAUAUACGGUGUGAAAUGGUGGCAGACGACGGGGGAAGGGCUGUUGAAGGAGACGCAGCGGUUUGGUUAUAACUGUGAAGUCAUCACGGUAAAUGACGGUUAAAGAUGGAAUAGUUAAACGUGGUGGUUGUCGGGAAUUGUUAAUGGGGGGAAAGAAACGGUGGGAACGGUUAAAGUAACUGUGGCGGGACAACAAUUGGUGUCAUUAUGGUUGACAGAAAACGGUGACCCGGUGAAAUGUGGCGGUUUUAAACGUUGAUUACUUCACACGGUGCGUCCCCGUAUUCAUAUUCAUAACGCGUCGGUUUUUUUUUCUUUUUUUCAAACGGUGCGUCGGUAUGGAUUUGUUCUAUUGUUUCCAUUGAUUCCAUAACGUUGUAACCGCUGCUGUAAAGUUCCGACGGGUGUUCUUGUUUUUUAUUGGUUC